rnacentral:tRNA from 1 species
GGGAGCGUAGCUCAGACUGGUUAGAGCGCUUGCCUGUCACGCAAGAGGUCGCGAGUUCGAUCCUCGUCGUUCCCGCCA